CGGUGCGCAAGCGGGCCGGGGAUAUCGCGGCGAGCCUGAGUUUCGCGGCGGCGGUCGUCCCGAUGCUGGCCGCGCCGAUCAUGUUCGGGCGCACCGG
rnacentral:tRNA from 1 species